rfam:Daphnia magna strain Xinb3 scaffold03154, whole genome shotgun sequence.
GCUGGAUGUGUGGCACGCAUCUGUAAUCCUGCUUAUGGUAGGCUUGAUAGUGUGGAUGAUUUUAGACGAGGAUUCCUACUUAAUAACCGUGUAUGUUGAUCAGGCGUCCGCCCUAAGCUCGGCAUCAACAUGGACCCAUUGAAGGAAUUUAAUAGGUGCAGGUUAGCUAAGGAGGAGCAAAACGGGACAGGAAGGAAACUUAGCAGCCAAAAGUUCCCGUUUCGAGCAGUAGUAGGAUUGCGCCCGUGAAUGUACGAAAUGAAUUAGCCUCGACGAAACAGUCAAACCUCUUUCUUU